AUUUUGACUGUGCAAAGGUAGCAUAAUCAUUAGUCUUUUAAUUGAGGACUGGUAUGAAUGGUUUAACGAAGUAUUAACUGUCUCAUUUUAAUAAAUUGAAUUUAACUUUUGAGUCAAAAGGCUUAAAUGAAGUUAGAGGACGAGAAGACCCUAUAGAGCUUUAUAAAUUAAAUAUUAAAUUGGAUUUGGAAGUUUUGUUUAAUUUAAAUAGAAAAUUUAUUUUAUUGGGGUGAUAUAAAGAUUUAAUAAACUCUUUAUAAUAAUUAAACACUAAUAUGUGAAUAAUUGAUCCAUUUUUAGUGAUUAUAAGAUUAAGUUACCUUAGGGAUAACAGCGUAAUGUUUUUUGAGAGUUCUUAUCAACAAAAAAGAUUGCGCCCUCGAUGUUGGAUUAAGGAAAAAGUUGGG
rnacentral:rRNA from 1 species